GCCAGCGUGGUGUAGUGGUUUGAGCAUUAGACUUAUGAUUCUGGAGACCAGGGUUCGAAUGCCGGCUUGGUCA